GCACCGGUUUAGCUCAGUGGUUACUUCUCUGUUAUAAUCCACUUUGUGGUUUAAUCUGUCCUCAGGGUCAAACCACGGACUCUGUCCAGUGUGUUC
rnacentral:vault_RNA from 1 species